rnacentral:rRNA from 1 species
UACGGAGGGCGCGAACGUUAAUCGGAAUUACUGGGCGUAAAGCGCGCGUAGGUGGUUUACUAAGUUGGAUGUGAAAGCCCAGGGCUUAACCUUGGAACUGCAUUCAAAACUAGUAGGCUAGAGUACGAUAGAGGGGGGUAGAAUUCAGAGUGUAGCGGUGAAAUGCGUAGAUAUUCUGAGGAAUACCGGUGGCGAAGGCAGCCCCCUGGAUUGAUACUGACACUGAGGUGCGAAAGCGUGGGGAGCAAACAGG